GGUGCAGCACCCACGGCCCUUCCUCCUGCGUGUGGAGCCCAAGCAGGCAGGCAAGGGCCCUGGGCUUGUUUUCAAGUGGAUGCAUGUGGCCAGGUAAAGAAAUGAAGCAACAACGUAUAGAAGAAUGAGCACUGUUUGAGAACCUGGCCACUUCCCCAACGGGUGGCGCCUCUGUGUCCGUCCUGAAACCAGGUGAGCCUUUGUGACCGCCCUGACCAGCGUAGGAUGGAGGACAAACUGCUGAUGACCUCCGAGGCGACGUCACAAAAAUGCUCCCACCGUUCUCCUCUGGGCCCCUUGCUCCUUCCUGGCACGCAAACACGGUGCCGUGUGGAAGCCUGUGCAGCCGGUGGGGAGGCCCAUGGAGAAGAAGCAAGCCCCCCCCUGCCACAGCCCAGCCGAGCCCCCCAGCCAGCGGCCUGCACCAACAUGCCAGUCAGGCAAACAAGCCAUCUCAAACCCAGAUCCUCAAGCCCCAGACAAGUGCCCAAAGUGACACCGUGUGGCACAGUCGUUAAGCGCCUCCAUCGGGCCCUGCCUAGGCUGCAGACUGUUGCACAGAAUAU